AUUGGAGUUUCAGCUUUAGCAUCAGUCCUUCUAAUGAAUAUUCAGGACUGAUUUCCUUUAGGAUGGACUGGUUGGAUCUCCUUGCUCUUUUUGGGACUCUCAAGAGUCUUCUCCAACACUACACUUGAAAAGCACGAGUUCUUCGGGCUCAGCUUUCUUUAU